rnacentral:rRNA from 1 species
AGUGAACGCUGGCGGCGUGCUUAACACAUGCAAGUCGAACGAGAACGGGAUAUAGCUUGCUAUAUUUGUCAGCUAAGUGGCGCACGGGUGAGUAAUGUAUAGAUAACCUGCCCUCUAGAAAGGAAUAACAGUUGGAAACGACUGCUAAUGCCUUAUACGCCUUUAAUACUUAAGUAUGCAAGGGAAACGCUUUAGUGCUAGAGGAUGGGUCUGUAUGGUAUCAGCUUGUUGGUGAGGUAAUGGCUCACCAAGGCUAUGACGCCUAACUGGUUUGAGAGGAUGAUCAGUCACACUGGAACUGAGACACGGUCCAGACUCCUACGGGAGGCAGCAGUGGGGAAUAUUGCACAAUGGACGAAAGUCUGAUGCAGCAACGCCGCGUGGAGGAUGACACAUUUCGGUGCGUAAACUCCUUUUAUAUAGGAAGAUAAUGACGGUACUAUAUGAAUAAGCACCGGCUAACUCCGUGCCAGCCGCCGCGGUAA